rnacentral:misc_RNA from 1 species
GAUGAAGAACGUAGCGAAAUGCGAUAGGUAAUGUGAAUUGCAGAAUUCAGUGAAUCAUCGAAUCUUUGAACGCAUCUUGCGCUCCUUGGUAUUCUGAGGAGCAUGCCUGUUUGAGUGUCAUUAAAUUCUCAACUACACUGACUUUGAAUUGGUGUGGCUUGGAUUUGGGGGGAAAAUUGUUGUGGGCUUUUUGUAUAGUCUGCUCCCCUGAAAUUGAUUAGCGGUACCUUUGUGGAACUGUCUACAGGUGUGAUAAUUAUCUACAUCUUAGACAUCUGCUGGAAUGCUGCUUUCUAAACCUUACUUGUAUUGACAAUCUUGACCUCAAAUCAGGUAGGACUACCCGCUGAACUUAAGCAUAUCAAUAAGCGGAGGA